rnacentral:rRNA from 1 species
GAUGAACGCUGGCGGCGUGCCUAAUACAUGCAAGUCGAGCGAACAGACGAGGAGCUUGCUCCUCUGACGUUAGCGGCGGACGGGUGAGUAACACGUGGAUAACCUACCUAUAAGACUGGGAUAACUUCGGGAAACCGGAGCUAAUACCGGAUAAUAUAUUGAACCGCAUGGUUCAAUAGUGAAAGACGGUUUUGCUGUCACUUAUAGAUGGAUCCGCGCCGCAUUAGCUAGUUGGUAAGGUAACGGCUUACCAAGGCAACGAUGAGUAGCCGACCUGAGAGGGUGAUCGGCCACACUGGAACUGAGACACGGUCCAGACUCCUACGGGAGGCAGCAGUAGGGAAUCUUCCGCAAUGGGCGAAAGCCUGACGGAGCAACGCCGCGUGAGUGAUGAAGGUCUUCGGAUCGUAAAACUCUGUUAUUAGGGAAGAACAAAUGUGUAAGUAACGAUGCACGUCUUGACGGUACCUAAUCAGAAAGCCACGGCUAACUACGUG